GUAUGUGAUGAACCCAUGAUAGGGACAGCUUAUGCCGCAAGGCAAUGAUGAGAUGUUCUUGGGUCGAUUAUUUUAGUAGAUGCUUCGAUUUACCUGACA
rfam:Valsa mali var. pyri strain SXYL134 unplaced genomic scaffold scaffold00052, whole genome shotgun sequence.